rnacentral:rRNA from 1 species
GACGAACGCUGGCGGCGUGCCUAAUACAUGCAAGUAGAACGCUGAAGGAGGAGCUUGCUUCCCUGGAUGAGUUGCGCAGGGGUGAGUAACGCGUAGGUAACCUGCCUGGUAGCGGGGGAGAACAAUUGGAAACGAUAGCUAAUACCGCAGAAAAGAAAAUGAAGCAUGAGAUUUGCUUAAAAAAUGCAGUUGCACUGCUACCAGAUGGAGCUGCGUCGUCUUAGCUAGUUGGUGAGGUAACAGCUGACCAAGGCAACGAUACCUAGCCGGCCAGGGAGGGGGGUCCGCCACCCUUGGACCUAGACACGGCCCCGACUCCUACGGGAAGCAGCCGUAGGGAAUCUUCGGCAAUGGACGGAAGUCUGACUGAGCAACGCCGCGUGAGUUAAGAAGGUUUUCGGAUCGUAAAGCUCUGUUUUAAGGGAAGAACGAGUGUGAGAGUGGACAGUUCACACUUUGACGGUAUCUUACCAGAAAGCGACGGCUAACUACGUG